GGGCACGACACCGGAGAGGGAGCCUGAGAAACGGCUACCACAUCCAAGGAUGGCAGCAGGCGCGCAAAUUACCCAAUCCCGACACGGGGAGGUAGUGACAAUAAAUAACAAUACGGGGUUCUUUAGGAUCUCGUAAUUGGAAUGAGUACAAUUUAAAUCUCUUAACGAGGAACAAUUGGAGGGCAAGUCUGGUGCCAGCAGCCGCGGUAAUUCCAGCUCCAAUAGCGUAUAUUAAAGUUGUUGCAGUUAAAAAGCUCGUAGUUGAAUUUCGGGGUUAGUAGGUUGGUCAUGCCUCUGGUAUGUACUGGUCUCACUGAUUCCUCCUUCCUUAUGAACCGUAAUGCCAUUAAUUUGGUGUUGCGGGGAAUUUGGACUGUUACUUUGAAAAAAUUAGAGUGUUUAAAGCAAGCUAACGCUUGAAUACAUUAGCAUGGAAUAAUGAAAUAGGACGUUCGAUCUUAUUUUGUUGGUUUCUAGGAUUGACGUAAUGAUUAAUAGGGAUAGUUGGGGGCAUUAGUAUUCAAUUGUCAGAGGUGAAAUUCUUGGAUUUAUUGAAGACUAACUACUGCGAAAGCAUUUGCCAAGGAUGUUUUCAUUAAUCAAGAACGAAAGUUAGGGGAUCGAAGACGAUCAGAUACCGUCGUAGUCUUAACCAUAAACUAUGCCGACUAGGGAUCGGAUGAUGUUAAUUUUUUAAUGACUCAUUCGGCGCCUUACGGGAAACCAAAGU
rnacentral:rRNA from 1 species